AUUUAUCGGAGUUGGAUGAGCCCCGCGUUGGAUUAGCUAGUUUGGGGGGGAAAAGGCCUACCAAGGCGACGAUCCAUAGCUGGCCCGAGAGGAUGAUCCGCCACACUGGGACUGAGACACGGCCCAGACUCCUACGGAAGCCGCAGGGGGAAUUUUGGACAAUGGGGGCACCCCUGAUCCAGCCAUGCGGCGGGAGUGAUGAAGGCCCUAGGGUUGUAAAGCUCUUUCACCGGUGAAGAAUAUGAUCUGAACCGGAGAAGAAGCCCCGGCUACUUCGUGCCGCAGCCGCGGUAAUACGAAGGGGGCUAGCGGUGUUCGGAUUUCUGGGGCGUAAAGGCACGUAGGGGGGUAUUUAAGCCAGGGGGAAAAUCCCCGGAGCUCAAUCCGGAAACUGCCUUUGAUACUGGGUACCUAGAGUAUGGAAGAGGGUAAGGUGGAAUUCGAGGGUAGGAGUGAAAUCCGAGAUUUCCGGAGGAACACAGUGGCGAAGGGGCUUACUGGUCAUUUCCUACGCCUGAGGUGGAAAGCGUGGGGAGAAACAGGAUUAGAUACCCUG
rnacentral:rRNA from 1 species